UACACACCGCCCGUCACGCCAUGGAAGCUGGGGGGACCUGAAGUCGGUGGGCUAACCGCAAGGAGGCAGCCGCCCAAGGUGCGGUCGAUGAUUGGGGUG
rnacentral:rRNA from 1 species